AGGACGAACGCUGGCGGCGCGCCUAAAACAUGCAAGUCGAACGUGAAGCCCGGAGCUUGCUCCGGGUGGAAAGUGGCGAACGGGUGAGGAACACGUGAGGAACCUGCCCCAGAGACCGGGAUAACACCGGGAAACCGGUGCUAAUACCGGAUGCCCUCAUCGGACCGCAUGAUCCGAUGAGGAAAUGGAUUCCGCUCUGGGAUGGUCUCGCGGCCUAUCAGCUUGUUGGUGAGGUAACGGCUCACCAAGGCUUCGACGGGUAGCUGGUCUGAGAGGAUGUCCAGCCACACUGGGACUGAGACACGGCCCAGACUCCUACGGGAGGCAGCAGUUAGGAAUCUUGCGCAAUGGGCGAAAAGCCUGACGCAGCGACGCCGCGUGCGGGAUGAAUGCCUUCGGUGUAAACCGCUUUCAGCAGGACGACGAUUGACGGUACCUGCAGAAGAAGACCCGCCAACACGUAGCCAGCAGCCGC
rnacentral:rRNA from 1 species